rnacentral:rRNA from 1 species
GUUAUAGGGUCAAGCGAACAAGUGCAUGUGGUGGAUGCCUUGGCGAUCACAGGCGAUGAAGGACGCGGUAGCCUGCGAAAAGCUUCGGGGAGCUGGCAAACAAGCUUUGAUCCGGAGAUGUCCGAAUGGGGAAACCCGGCCCGUAUGGGUCAUCCCACACUGAAUCCAUAGGUGUGGGAAGCGAACGCGGCGAACUGAAACAUC